CCUACGGGAGGCAGCAGUGGGGAAUAUUGCACAAUGGGGGAAACCCUGAUGCAGCGACGCCGCGUGAAGGAUGAAGUAUUUCGGUAUGUAAACUUCUAUCAGCAGGGAAGAAAAUGACGGUACCUGACUAAGAAGCCCCGGCUAACUACGUGCCAGCAGCCGCGGUAAUACGGAGGGGGCAAGCGUUAUCCGGAUUUACUGGGUGUAAAGGGAGCGUAGACGGUAUGGCAAGUCUGAUGUGAAAACCCGGGGCUCAACCCCGGGACUGUAGUGGAAACUGCCGAACUAGAGUGUCGGAGAGGCAAGUGGAAUGCCUGGUGUAGCGGUGAAAUGCGUAGAUAUACGGAGGAACACCAGUGGCGAAGGCGGAUUGCUGGACAGUAACUGACGCUGAGGCGCGAAAGCGUGGGGAGCAAACAGGAUUAGAUACCCUUGUAGUC
rnacentral:rRNA from 1 species